rnacentral:rRNA from 1 species
CUAUAAUGCAGUCGAGCGGCACAGAUGGGAGCUUGCUCCCUGAUGUUAGCGGCGGACGGGUGAGUAACACGUGGGUAACCUGCCUGUAAGACUGGGAUAACUCCGGGAAACCGGGGCUAAUACCGGAUGCUUGUUUGAACCGCAUGGUUCAAACAUAAAAGGUGGCUUCGGCUACCACUUACAGAUGGACCCGCGGCGCAUUAGCUAGUUGGUGAGGUAAUGGCUCACCAAGGCAACGAUGCGUAGCCGACCUGAGAGGGUGAUCGGCCACACUGAGACACGGCCCAGACUCCUACGGGAGGCAGCAGUAGGGAAUCUUCCGCAAUGGACGAAAGUCUGACGGAGCAACGCCGCGUGAGUGAUGAAGGUUUUCGGAUCGUAAAGCUCUGUUGUUAGGGAAGAACAAGUACCGUUCGAAUAGGGCGGUACCUUGACGGUACCUAACCAGAAAGCCACGGCUAUACGUGCCAGCAGCCGCGGUAAUACGUAGGUGGCAAGCGUUGUCCGGAAUUAUUGGGCGUAAAGGGCUCGCAGGCGGUUUCUUAAGUCUGAUGUGAAAGCCCCCGGCUCAACCGGGGAGGGUCAUUGGAAACUGGGGAACUUGAGUGCAGAAGAGGAGAUGGAAUUCCACGUGUACGGUGAAAUGCGUAGAGAUGUGGAGGAAACACCCAGUUGCGAACGCGACUCCUCUGGGUCUGCAAACUGACGCCUGGAGGAUCCGAAAGGCGUGGG